GACGAACGCUGGCGGCGUGCUUAACACAUGCAAGUGGUGCGACGAACCAGGCUUCGGCCUGGGGCAGAGCCGCGAACGGGUGAGUAACACGUGGGCACCCUGCCCUGUUGAUCGGGACAACCCGGGGAAACCCGGGCUAAUACCGAAUGUGGUGCCGGCUCACGGGAGCCGUCACGAAAGGAAGCUUCGGCAUCCGCGACCGGCUGUGCCCGCGGCCCGUUAGCUUGUUGGUGGGGUAAUGGCCUACCAAGGCAACGAUGGGUAGCUGGUCUGAGAGGACGAUCAGCCACACUGGGACUGAGACACGGCCCAGACUCCUACGGGAGGCUGCAGUGGGGAAUCUUGCGCAAUGGGCGACAGCUUGACGCAGCAACGCCGCGUGGGGGAAGAAGGCUUUCGGGUCGUAAACCCCUUGCAGUUAGGACGAAGCUUUACUGGUUAAUAACCAAUUGGAGUGACGGUACUUUCAGAAGAAGCCCCGGCUAACUACGUGCCAGCCGCCGCGGUAA
rnacentral:rRNA from 1 species